rnacentral:ncRNA from 12 species
UGCAAAAUAGGUUUCCAUGCGUCAAGUGUUUUGUGGAUGGGGAGUUGCCACAGAAACGAAAAGUCGGUUCGCGUGCGGACCGGACUUACGAUAUGGUUACCGCACCCGUUGCA